rnacentral:sRNA from 1 species
UACCCAUACCACCUGCAUGGAGCUCCUUCCUGUUAGCUUUCUUACCUGUGUCCUCUAGCACCUCCCUGAGACCCCGAGCACAAUCGGGGUCAAGCUCCACAUUCUGUCUAAGGUUCCAUGACCUGCCCCACCCCUCCUUCUGUGGGGAGAUGUCAACAGUCCAAGGGCCCCACUGUGAUACUCUUACGAAGGGUGGCAGCUGCUCAGAGGAAUAGGCAUCCCACGGACCCUCCUCACCAGCACUCGGCUUCCGGCACUGCGCUAUUCUCUGGAAAGAUAACUACCCAUAGUCCUCUGGUGCGUCCUGAACACUCAGUUGGAGGAAGAUUCUGCCUGAGGAGGCAGUGCGAAGAGCCUGGGGUCUGAUGCCCCAGUGGGCGCGCCACGAAGCUUCACCCCAUCACAAGCUCAGAACAUCUUGAGCAAGUUGCCUCAGUUUCCCAUCUGGAGGGUGGGUCAGCAGCCUGAAGCUUAAGUCGCAAUGACCGUCAGCCAGUGAAGGUUUGCCAGGAGCCUCCUGACUGCUUCCCACACGGGCUUGAAAUGGAUGCUAAGGACGACAGACACCAUGCUCAGCCCCAAAUGGGACAUCUGCAUCACCCAGGAGUCACUGAACAAGAGAAGGUAGAACUUCAUGGAUCGCACGGUUGUCCCCUUAGUCACCUGCCUUCACGCCCUUGACUCAGUCCCCACGCCGGGUCUCUACUGGACAUAACUACCAGGAUGGGUCACUCAAGACAUCAUCAGAGGAGCCUCUUUGUAUGGCCAACUGGUGCAGAAGAUUUCAUCAGGAGACAGUGGAGCCGGGGGAGCGGAGCUGAGCAGAUAGGCUACAACAGUUGCCCAUCCUGUCCCACUGUGACACAACCCAGAGGCUGGAGAAUUUAUGUGAAAAACACUUACUAUCUCUAGAAUCUGGAACGUCUGACAUCGAGGGUGCAGUGGUAACCAGUCUGGCCCAGACUAUCAUCCCAUAGCGCCUCCAGGUGAGAGAGAGCAGGCUCACUCUACCUCACAUCAACCCACCGCCACAGCAUCCCUUUGUGACAGCCGCACUGUCAGAGAGAACUCCCCGGAAACACCCCACGUCUCGGCCUAAUGAGGUACUGCAAAUUACAAUCCCAACCCACACGCCUUGGGGAACUCCACUCACCCACAGCCACCUCGAAGAGGCAGCCACCCUGUCAGAGCGAGCCGGGAAGCCUCCCUGUGCAACGGUUCUAGUUUCAGACCAAUGUCGGGAGCCAGCGGGUAAGUCUUACACCCAGUAGCAGAGUUCCCGGACAGGGUCCCUGGUUCCACGUCCUGCAGUAACCUGUCCCAAGAGGCAUC